rnacentral:SRP_RNA from 2 species
GCCUGGCGUGGUGGUACACGCUUGUAGUCCCAGCUACUCGGGUGGCUGAGGCAGGAGAAUUGCUUGAACCCGGGAGGCGGAGCUUGCAGUGAGCCGAGAUCACGCCACUGCACUCCAGCCUGGGCGACAGAGCAAGACUCUGUCUCAAAAAAAAAAAAAAAUCUGUAAGUGUUUGAUUUUUCUUUUUUUGAGACGGAGACUUGCUCUGUCGCCCAGGCUGGAGUGCAGUGGCGUGAUCUCGGCUCACUGCAACCUCCGCCUCCCGGGUUCACGCCAUUCUCCGUCUCAG